GACGAACGCUGGCGGCAUGCCUAAUACAUGCAAGUCGAGCGAACAGAUGAAGUGCUUGCACUUCUGACGUUAGCGGCGAACGGGUGAGUAACACGUAAGGAAUCUACCUAUAAGCGGGGGAUAACAUUCGGAAACGGGUGCUAAUACCGCAUAAUAUCUUCUUCCGCAUGGAAGAAGAUUGAAAGACGGCUCUGCUGUCACUUAUAGAUGACCUUGCGGUGCAUUAGUUAGUUGGUGGGGUAAUGGCCUACCAAGACGAUGAGGCAUAGCCGACCUGGGAGGGUGAUCGGCCAUAUUGGGACGUAGACACGGCCCAAACUCCUACGGGAGGCAGCAGUAGGGAAUCUUCCGCAAUGGGCGAAAGCCUGACGGAGCAAUGCCGCGUGAGUGAAGAAGGCCUUCGGGUCGUAAAACUCUGUUAUAAGAGAAGAACAAAUUGUAGAGUAACUGCUACAGUCUUGACGGUAUCUUAUCAGAAAGCCACGGCUAACUACGUGCCAGCCGCCGCCGUAA
rnacentral:rRNA from 1 species